rnacentral:rRNA from 1 species
UACAGAGGUCUCAGGCGUUGUUCGGAUUCAUUGGGCGUAAAGGGUGCGUAGGUGGCGCCGUAAGUCGGGUGUGAAAUUUCGGAGCUUAACUCCGAAACUGCAUUCGAUACUGCGGUGCUUGAGGACUGGAGAGGAGACUGGAAUUCAUGGUGUAGCAGUGAAAUGCGUAGAGAUCAUGAGGAAGACCAGUGGCGAAGGCGGGUCUCUGGACAGUUCCUGACACUGAGGCACGAAGGCCAGGGGAGCAAACGGG